rnacentral:rRNA from 1 species
AGUGAACGCUGGCGGUAGGCCUAACACAUGCAAGUCGAACGGCAGCACAGUAAGAGCUUGCUCUUACGGGUGGCGAGUGGCGGACGGGUGAAGAAUACAUCGGAAUCUACUUUUUCGUGGGGGAUAACGUAGGGAAACUUACGCUAAUACCGCAUACGACCUACGGGUGAAAGCAGGGGAUCUUCGGACCUUGCGCGAUUGAAUGAGCCGAUGUCGGAUUAGCUAGUUGGCGGGGUAAAGGCCCACCAAGGCGACGAUCCGUAGCUGGUCUGAGAGGAUGAUCAGCCACACUGGAACUGAGACACGGUCCAGACUCCUACGGGAGGCAGCAGUGGGGAAUAUUGGACAAUGGGCGCAAGCCUGAUCCAGCCAUACCGCGUGGGUGAAGAAGGCCUUCGGGUUGUAAAGCCCUUUUGUUGGGAAAGAAAAGCAGCAGGUUAAUACCCCGCUGUUCUGACGGUACCCAAAGAAUAAGCGCCGGCUAACUUCGUG